CCAGGAAAAGCCUCUAAGCAUCAGGUAACAUGAAAUCGUACCCCAAACCGACACAGGUGGUCAGGUAGAGAAUACUCAGGCGCUUGAGAGAACUCGGGUGAAGGAACUAGGCAAAAUGGUGCCGUAACUUCGGGAGAAGGCACGCUGGCAUUAGGUAAAGGGACUUGCUCCCGGCGCCGAAGCCAGUCGCAGAUACCAGCUGGCUGCAACUGUUUAAUAAAAACACAGCACUGUGCAAACACGAAAGUGGACGUAUACGGUGUGACGCCUGCCCGGUGCUGGAAGGUUAAUUGAUGGGGUCAGCCGCAAGGCGAAGCUCUUGAUCGAAGCCCCAGUAAACGGCGGCCGUAACUAUAACGGUCCUAAGGUAGCGAAAUUCCUUGUCGGGUAAGUUCCGACCUGCACGAAUGGCGUAAUGAUGGCCAGGCUGUCUCCACCCGAGACUCAGUGAAAUUGAACUCGCUGUGAAGAUGCAGUGUACCCGCGGCAAGACGGAAAGACCCCGUGAACCUUUACUAUAGCUUGACACUGAACAUUGAGCCUUGAUGUGUAGGAUAGGUGGGAGGCAUAGAAGUGUGGACGCCAGUCUGCAUGGAGCCAACCUUGAAAUACCACCCUUUAAUGUUU
rnacentral:rRNA from 1 species